CUACGGAGGGAGCUAGCGUUGUUCGGAAAUACUGGGCGUAAAGCGCACGUAGGCGGCGCAGCAAGUCAGGGGUGAAAUCCCAGGGCCCAACCCUGGAACUGCCUUUGAUACUGGCAAGCUGGAGCACGAUAGAGGAAGAUGGAAUAUCUGGUGUAGGGGUGAAAUCCGUAGAUAUCAGAUAGAACACCAAUGGCGAAGGCAGUCUUCUGGAUCGUUGCUGACACUGAGGGACGAAAGCGUGGGUAGCAAACAGAAUUAGAUACUCUGGUAGUCCACGCCCUAAACGAUGCAUGCUUGUUGUUGGUUUCCUUCGGGGGAUCAGUGACGUAGCUAACGCGUUAAGCAUGCCGCCUGGGGACUACGAUCGCAAGAUUAAAACUCAAAGGAAUUGACGGGG
rnacentral:rRNA from 1 species